rnacentral:rRNA from 1 species
AUUGAACGCUGGCGGCAGGCUUAACACAUGCAAGUCGAACGAGUGGCGGACGGGUGAGUAAUGCUUGGGACUCUACCUUAUGGAGGGGGAUAACUACUGGAAACUGUAGCUAAUACCGCGUACCAUAGGAUGAGCCCAAGUGGGAGUAGGUAGUUGGUGGGGUAAGGGCUCACCAGGCCGACGAUCUCUAGCUGGUCUGAGAGGAUGACCAGCCACACUGGGCCUGAGACACGGCCCAGACUCCUACGGGAGGAAGCAGUGGGGAAUAUUGCACAAUGGGCGCAAGCCUGACGCAGCCAUGCCGCGUGAAUGAAGAAGGCCUUCGGGUUGUAAAGUACUUUCAGUAGGGAGGCGUUACCGACAGAAGAAGCACCGGCUAACUCCGUGCCAGCAGCCGCGGUAAUAC